UUUCCCAUGCUUGCUCGAUUUAUCACGACCCUUUCCCAUGGACCACUUAAAGUUGUAAGCCUUUAAAAAGGCCAAGAACUUCUUUUUGGGGGAGCUGGGCUCUUAAGACGCGAGUCUGCCGACGCUCCCGGCGGAAUAAAAAACGUCUUCCUUCUUUAAUCCGGUGUCUGAGGAGUUUUGUCUGUAGCUCUCCUGCUACAUUUCUUGGUUCCCUGACUGGGAAGCCAGGUGAUUAACCAACUGUCGAAGCAGCCCCUUAGGCAGCUUAUGCCUGCCCUGUAGAGCAUCCCUGUGGGGGACGCUGGCCAGCUUGAGCUAUGCGGAUCCUGAGAGCGCUCCCAGGUAGGCAUUUGCCCUGGUGGAACGCCUCGUCAGAGCAGUACACAGCAGGCCCCCACGGAAGAUCAAGGCAGUGACUGAACACCGGGAAGGAACUGGCACUUUAAGUCCAGACAUCUGAAACUUGUUGCAGGUGUUGUGUCUUGGAUCCCCUCAGUCAGCUAAUACCGGCAGCUCAGGACAAGUGGACCAGCCAGCAGGAAACAGAUCAUCCAACCCGGCUGAUCCCUAGACGAGACCAAGCUGCUGCUGAGGAUGAUAGCCCUGCUCUGGUCACUCUGGAGGCUGACCAGUCUACACACGGCUGAAGCUUGAGGAGACAACAAGCCCUGCUCUAGUCACACACCGGCAGCUGACUAGUGUAUGCAUGGCCAAAGCUUGAGGACUCAUCAAGCAAGAAUUGAGAUAUUUUGGGACAUUCAGAAGCCUUGAACCCGGACUGCCUUCUGUUUGAAGACUGGUUGACCAUCAGUCCACCUUUACUCUGAGGGUCCAGUCCCACUCUUGGCAGGCUCUGGACUCCAAUAUCUGUUUGCACAGCCCCAUGAAGCCAUCCAAAGCGCACGUGAGCCACUAGAAUCAAAAGGCCGCUGACUCUUUACCAUAUCACUACUGCCACAGUUAGGAAGCCACCAAGACAAGGAAGGAAUCCAUCCAUAAUCAGAAACCUACCACCCUCAGAAACCACAGCCACUGUUGCCCGCUGCAGAUCCCACUGUGCCUGCGAGGAUUUUCAGCUUCAAAUGGACGCCACGUGCCCUGCUCUCAGCACCUCAGAGCCAGCGACCAGAGCCCAGGACCUCAGCUAACACUGCCCAGAAAACUGAGUAUCUCCCCCGCUGGGCUUGGCAGCAGGAGCAGCAGAUGCCUGGCCCCUACUGCAAUUCCCCCACAUUUGAGUGACUGAAUCUGCACCACAUCCUGACUCUGGUUGUAAAGGAGUCUGGGAAAUGUAGUUUUUAGCUUUCCUGUUUCUGUAGUAUAGGAAGGCACAGCAGAAAGCAGAUGGAAUGGACUUAUCCUUCUCCCAUCUGCCCCCCAGAUACUACCUGAGAGAAACAGAAGAUAAAACUACCACCAGGACCCACCAGCAACAUGACACACGGCCAGUGACUUCGGCUGCUAAAAUCAAAAUGUACACCAGAGGGUGCUGCAGUUAAAGAGCGAGACAGAGGGCCAGUCCCAAGGUGCAAGACCACUUGCGCCAGCAGCGUGUGUCAGCAAGAUAGCAGAAGCAGGAAGAGAGCUGGCCGGAAGACACGUACCCCCUGAAGACCAAGAGAGAGGCCAUCUGGGUACCGAGUAGCAGUUACAUCAGACUGAGACACGUCCUGUUUACAGGAGACUAUAAAGCCCCUGCCCCGUCCUCAUUUGGUGCUGACGCCAUUUUAGGCCUCAGCCUAUCUGCACCAGGCACUCAUUAAAACAGCGUGUUGCUCCACACUGCCUUGUGGUGUUUGUUGGCGCGCUCUUGGGGUUCGAACCGAUACAAGAGCCUUGCAGUGAUUAUGGGUGGUCUUGUCUUCGUCUUCCUCCAUCCUGAGUGGGGUUGGUGCUUGUUGCCUGGUGUUGAUGUUAUGUCAGAUUAUGUCCCACAGAACAUCAGCGCUUAGUUGUGAGUGCCAGGCCAGCUCCUGCUGCCAAGAGCUUUUCUCCGAUUCAGCAACGUAUCACAGAGCGCUGUAGGGAGACCUCAGCCUGGUGUACCAUAGAAGGCAGGGAGAUGAUAUGUGAAUCACAAAGUGAAGAGACAAGUUUCGAACACCUUGGUCCUAAGGUGUAGAUUUGGUUUCAAUACAUAACAUUUUUUUAUGGAGGUAACAUUUAGAUUUAACACUCUAACUGGUACUACUAAUACAGUAGCAUAAGUUUUCUCUAAUUUUGCAUAAAUAAACAGGUUUAAGGUUACUUAAAUGUUGACAAGAGCCUCACCUUAAGUUCUGUGUUCCUCCCAACCCCAUUAACAUCUUUGUGGUGCAAGUGAGGAAUUUUCUCUUCUGGGAUCUAAAUAUUGCAGACGCUACUAUGUUGCAGCAAGUCCUCAGGCUGAAGGACUGGGCUCCACAAACGUGUUGGAGAUGGGACAUAGUUGCAUGCACUUAAGGAAAAUUGCUUUCUGUUAAAACUUGCUAGAGAAGUGAGACCAUUACUGUUUAAACACACAGACUUUGAAGUCAGGCCAAUCUGGGUUUGAAUCAUCCCAGGCCUCCCAUUUCCUUGUUGUGUGACCUUGGGCAAGUUAUCCAAUCACUCUAAGUCUUAGCUGUUACAAAUAUAAGAUGGGGAUAGACAUUUCUAUUCAUAAUUUUGUUGAGAGAAAUAAACCCACUGUGACAAUGGGAAACACUGCGUGUUGUA